CCGGCCCUCACCCGGUGGCGAAUAUCUUGCUGGGGACUCCAAAUGUAACCAAGCAAGUUACAGAGAAACGCCACACUUUGAGACGAACUCAGGAGUCCUUUAUUAG
rnacentral:pre_miRNA from 10 species